UGCUCACUAUGAGUAACAAGUUAAGAAAAUGCGCUCACUUGGGGAAAGUAGGAAGAAAGCUUGAGGAGAUGAGCGAAGAAGGGCAGAUGAGUGAAGAAGGGUCAGAUAGAAGAUGCAGGCAGGAAGGAAGCUUGUCAGUGGUCGGAGGAGGACCAGGUGAGUGUGUCACUGAGGAGGCCAAGAAAGUUGAAAUUUUCAAGAUGAGAGAGAAUGGUCAAUGGCGGCCAGUGUCACAAAGAAUCCAAGUAAGGGAAGACCAGAAACAUGUCCACAGGAUUUGGCAGGUGAGCCUUGCCACAGCAAUUUCAGCUAAGUAAUGAGAACAGAAGCCUGGCUGAGAGAGAUUAAGAACGGACUUUACUGGAAGGUAAUUGAAAGCUUGGAAAGCAAAACCCUGGAUAAGAGGGACCUACUGCUCACAGUCUCUCCAGGGACCUUAUGUCAAAUCUGAGAGGGGAGAAGAAAUGUAUGAAGACAGAACCAUUUUAUGGAGCAUGGGGCUCUGCCAGGCGCAGCUAUAGAUGUUAUCACAUCCAUCUUCUCAGCCACCCUGUGAAGGAGUUAUCAGCAGGCCCAUGCAGACAAAGAAAUUGAGGAAGAUUCAGUGAUUCGCUCCAGGUCAGCAGCUGAAAUUUCAGAAGAGGAAAAGAAUCUGGAAACAGAAUCUCUGAAUCUCUGACCGUCUAAUGCUGCAGGUUUUGGAAGGCUGCCAACGUGCUCAAGGAGCCAUGGAGAAAAUAAGUGCUGUCCCUUCAAAGAAACGUCUUUCAGAAAGGAAAAAAAAAAAAAAAAAAAAAAAAUCCCAUGAACGGCCUUCUUUCUCUAGAAGACUGGAGGGAUUUUUCCCUCAGGUCAAUGACCAUCACAUAACUGAUCAUAUUUUCGUUUUUGUUUUGGCCCGUGGCAAGCAUAGAAUCAAAUUUACAGCUCAAUUUUAUUAACCUCAUAGGACACUCUAGUCUAAAUAUUUAUUCUAGCUUUUGACAUGGCCUUUCCUUUUUAUGUUUAUAUAUUCCUAGGUACCAAUUUUCAACUGUUUUAUACUGUACUAGCUUGUAGAUUAUGUAUGCUUGCUGACAAACUCAGUUCCUAUGUAACCAAUAGACAAAAUAAAUAAUUACUUCAAUAAAUAAA
rnacentral:lncRNA from 1 species